rnacentral:lncRNA from 1 species
AACGUUUAUUUGGAGAGUUAAAAUCUGUGCAUUCUUUGUUUUCUAAAGUCGUUGCAUGAUCUCAUUAUUCCUUGCUUGGUUACUACUUUAGAAGGCGUUUCAUCAUUUAGUUCCAAAUGCUAGAACUCAUGCCCAUUUCAUUCAAAGCAUGUUAUUGAUUUGCAUAACACAUAUUCAAGAUAAAGUUGUGUAGUUACCACCACCUUAGCCAAAACUGCCGUGUAUCCCAUAUCAUUUAUGUUUAAGGUUUAACCCCGUUGAGCCUUGUUUAGCCUAUGUUGUUGUUAACCCACAUUAUCCUCACCUAGCCUAGAUUAGGACCAUCCAUACCCUUGUUCUUAAAGCAUAGUAAAGCAUGAUUCAAAUUGAAUUCCUUUUGAUUUAUGUUGGCAGAAAACAAGUGUGGGGGAAGUAUUUCUUUUGUGAUUUUGUGUGCCAUAGGCACGUGUGGAAAGAAAAGGAAAAAAAAAAAGAAAAAAAUGAAGAAAAAGUAUGAGAAGUAAAAAAAAAAAAAGAGUUGAAAAGUUGAGAAAAAGAGUUCCAAAGUAUUGUUUGUUGAAGUAAGGGUCCAAAACAAUGAAUUCGGCCCUAAGAAGUUGUUUAAGUAUCCCCCUUGUGUGUUAAAGUUAAUUUCUGCAAUCUAAGUGAAUUCUAAGUCUCAAUUUCAUUGCUUUGCUUACUAUUGCUUGAAGAACGUUUGUUUUCCAUAUCCGUUUUUGUUAGCCAAUACCUUAAGCCCCAUUACAACCCGUAACUUCUAUCUUGAGUGUUAUGUGUUUCAAUUUGUGGAGUUUGAAUUUGGUAUGAGCAUAUGGUGUCACUGGUUCUCGCAUCUAAGUAGUAGCAUUCCAUUCAUGAGAUCAUAUCUAAACAUGCUUCUUAACUCUAGAAAUUGCGUUCUUUGUGAAACAUAUAUGUGAGCAUUCGUUUUCAUAUCUACAUCAAUCUUCUCACAUAUGACUAGUGUAGGGUGUGGAGUUAGAAAAUCUGAGUGAAAAUAGAGUGUAUAUCUUGUAAGGAAUUGAGGGAAUUCUCUAAGGCAUGUUACUACAUUCAAAGCAUUGUUUUGAAUUGAUUACUUGUGAACUAGUAAGUGUGGCUUUAAUUAAGUAUGUGCUUGUGUAAAGAUGACUCAACUCUGUGGGGAUAGCAAUCUUUAACAUGUCAUGUGCAUUGGAAAUCCCUGAGGCAAACGUUGGAAGGUUUAGGUUUUGUUUUGGUUAGUUUGUUUCGUUUUGUUUUCUUUCUUUUGUUUGUUUUGCUCGAGGACUAGCAAAAGCUAAGUGAUAGGAGCAUAUUUAUGCGCCUUAGUUUAGCUUGUUCUUGUGCAUUUAUAGUGUUUUUGCUUAGUAAAGUAGUCUUUUAAGCUAGUUUUAUGUGUUUUCAGGUUCUAAGGGCAAAGUAUGCAAAAGGAUGCAUUUUGGAGUCUUUUGGAGCAAAGUUGAGCUUGGAAUGGAUGUCAUAUGCUUGGAGCCAAGAGGAUGGACGAAAUUGAAGAUUUCAAGAUGAUGUUUCCUACUUGAACAAGGUUUCCUAGUCGAAGUAGGAAAGCGCCUAAGUGAAGAUGGAAUCCUAGUUGAAUUAGGAUUCCUAGUCAAAAUGGGUUUCCUAGUUGAAUUGGGAUUCCUAGAAGAUGAAGAUUCCUACUCAAACAAGGUUUCCUACUUGAAGUAGGAAAGUUAAAUCCAAAUGGCAUCAAGAAGGAAAAGGAAUCCAAGAUGAAGAAGGAGAAGAAUUCCAAGUCAAGGGAGGAUUUUCACAUGUUUUCCUAAUGCUAGAAGGACUCCUAAGUGUUGUAGGACACAAAUGAGAAGUUUCUAGAAAGUUUACAUCCUUGCCGUGGGUUUCAUGCAAUUCCUAUCAGUUUUGGGGCUUUCUAGAAGCCCUAUCCCUAAUCCCUACAUUGGUGCCGCACCCUAGCUUCUAGAAAUCUGAUUUCCUUGCCUUGCAAGGCUUUCUAGAAGCCUUAUCCACCUUAUCCUAUCCCUGCCGCACCUAGGACCCCUUUUCCCUUGCAAAAUCUGAUUGUUUAGACCUAUUUCCUUGUGGAUUUGGGUUAUCCAAGUCCAUAUCUGAUUACCCUAGGGUUUUAAGUGCCUAUAUAUACUCCUAUUAACCCCUAAAUCAGAUCACCACUCACCACAAUUCACAAUUCACUCCAGAAAUUCGUCCAAACUCUCUCCACACCUUUGCCGCACCAUUCCCUUCCCCUAAACACUACUACAUCCCUCCAUAACCAUGCAUCCAUACACCUAAGGUCCUAAACUAGUCCCUAGAACCUUUGCCGCACCAAGGAGGAGGAGAAGGAAGCUCGGAAGUUCAUGCAAUUCAAGUUCGCGUCGCUGGAAUUUCUAGGUGUUUCUUUUCCUUUGAUUUCAAUGUUUAAAUUCAAUUCUCUUUGUUUUGUGCGUAUGAGGAACUAAACCCCCCUUGGCUAGGGGGGGAUUCGAAAUACAUGUUUAUGCUUGCGUUAUGAUUUGAUUACUUCUAAUUGCGUUUCAUAAGUUGUGAAUUCAAUUUACUUAUCUAUGCGAAUUACAUUGAUUUAUGUGUAUUGGUUGAGAGUGCACGCUUAAUUUCAUGCAUGAAAUUUGAAUGCUAGGAUAUAAGGAAAUUUCACCUAAUCGUUAUGGAAACUUAUAUUCACAAGUAGUAAAGGUUGAUGAUCUCAAUCGCGUUAAGUAAAUUCUUGGCAUAAGUUUCAUGCAAUCAUAGUAACAAGUGCUUCGUCAAUGCUUAUGGUUUUUCAUAGAACUUAAUGAUUCUUGCUUGUAUCUCUAUUAUGCAAUCAUGUAGGGGACUUGUGGGGAAUGUUUGGGUUGUCGUAUGCAAUCAUCCAAUUCAAUAACGUUAGGAAAAUCUGAAGGUUAAUUUAAGCGAACCUAAUUAACUUGGGGCGUUGAGAAUUCAUGGUUUAUUGAAAAGCAAUUGGAAAUCGUUUUGUAUGCAAGUAUAACAUGUGUGGAGAUGAACCCCUUAGCUAGCCUUCCAUUCACCCAUUUAAAUCAAAUUCGUUUUUACAAUCUGUUCUAAUUUACAAAGUUUGUUUUGUUUUUAAAUUCGUCCAAAACCAAUCCCCCUUUGUUUUAAAGUGUCAAAUUAGUUAGUAAGUGUUUUACUUUGUGUUUUUAAGUGUUUUGAUUCAAGUUAAAACCCAAAUUCGUCCAAUUUGGUGCUUAGUGUCCAAAACUGCCCAGAUUGUGUUUUUAAGGCAGUUUUGAAUGUUUUGGUGCUGUUUUGAGUCUUUUGGUUUGUUUUGGUGUUUUAAAGUUUAGUUUUGCAUUCUUUAAGUCUAGUUUAGUGUUUUAAACUUGUUUUUACAUAUUUGAGUCAGUUUUCAAGUGAUUUUGCAAUCCCUCCUAAUCCCCGGUUUAGAACGAUCCCUACUUACAUACUUUGCUACAAUUGAUAAAAAGAGGGUUAAUUUGAGUGUCAACAUAAUUUUCACAUCACUAAGUGUGGGGGAAUUUGAUAGGAGCAUAUUUAUGCGCCUUAGUUAGCUAGUUCUUAUGCAUCUUUGUUAUGUUUUCUUCGUUAAAGUAGUCUUUUAAGCUACUUUCAUGUGUUUUCAGGUUUAAAGGACAUAUUACAUGAAAUGAUGCAAGUUGGAGCUUUUGGAGCAAAAUAUGAGCUUGGAUUGAAAAGGACAUGCUUGAAACACAAGGUUGGGAUGGAAUUGAAGAGUUGAAGAUUUGAGGUUUCCUACUUGAAGUAGGAAAGCUAAGCCUAAAAGUUUCCAUUUUGGGUUGAUCUUUCCUAAAUCGGAAUUGGCAACCAAAGUUUCUAAAGUUGGAAGUUUCUAUUCUUGGAGGUUUCCAUUUUCGUGAGUUUCUAUUCUCGGCUUUGGGCUUUUGGAUGACCCAUCCUUACUUCUUGGACCUAUGUCGCACCUAAACCCUAACCCUAGCCACUUAAUCAGCCGCACCUAGGCCUUGUUCACUUGCAAAAAAAUCUGAUUAUUUACCCUAAGCCCAUGCCGCACCUUUCCAUCCUAGAAGCCCUAUUUUACAAACCUUAACCCUAGCCCAUUGUUUCAAUCUGAUUUCAUUAGGGUUUUAGGUGCCUAUAUAUAUGUGUUUUACUCCUUUGGCCGAAGCUCUCCCACUCUACAAAUCAGAAAUCGUCUAAACCCUAUUCCCACACCUUGCCGCAGCCUUCAUCCAUUCCAGCCACACCCAUACACCUUGCCGCAGCCAUCCCUCUACUCCAGCCACCAUUCUCCAUCUCCAUACACCAUCCACACCUCUUGCCGCACCACCAUACCAUCCUAAUUCCCUUCCUAAACCAAAAUCACAUCCAAAAGUCCCCUUAACCAUCUCUGCCGCAGCAAGGAGAAGAAGAAGAGGAGCUUGACGUGCAGAAAUUCAAAGUGGAAUUCUUGGGCGUUUUAGGUGUAAUCUUUCUUAUGUCUUCGAUGUUUCAAUUCAAUAAAUUUUGUGUUGUGAGUAUGAGAAACUAAACCCCCUUAGUUGGGGGGUAAUUCGAAACCAUGUACAUGCUUGCAAUAUGAUUUGAUUACAUUCAGUUGUUAUUUCAUAAGUUGUGGAUUUAAUUCGUUCAUCUAUUUGAUUGAUAAUUUAUUUGUGUAUGUUGAUUGAGAGUGCACGCUUAGUUUUCAUGCAUGAAUAUGAUGCUAGAUUAUGAGGGAGUUUCACCUAAUAGUUACAAUCUUAUAAUCACAAGUAGUGAAGGUCGCUUGAAAACGAUCGCGUUGAAUGAAUUCUUAGCAUAAGUUUCAUGCAAUUCAUAGUAACAAAUGCUUCGUCAAUGCUUAUGUUUUUCAUAGAACGUAAUGAUUCUUGCUUGUAUCUCUAUUAUGCAAUUCAUGUAGGGAACUUGUAGGGAAUGUUUUGGGUUGUCGUAUGCAAUCAUCCAACCUAAUAACUUGUGGAAAAACUGAGGGUUAAUUAGUGCAAUUCACGGUUAAUUUGGGGCGUUGAGUAUUCAUAAUUUAUUGGAAGAACAACUGAAAAUCGUUUUGUUUGCAAGUGUGACAUGUGUGGAGAAGAACCUCCUAACUAGCCUUUUAACCAUCCUUUUCAUCCAAAAACGUUUUUACAAUCUGUUUAGUUUUAAGUCUUCUGUUUUGUUUUCAAUUUUCGUCCAAAACAAAUCCCCCUUUAUUUUGAAGUCUUAGAUUAGUUAGAAAGUGUUUUGAUUUGUGUUUCUAAGUGUUUUGAUUCAAGUUUUCACUCAAUUUCGUCCAAGUUCUUGUUAGGUUCUCAAAACUGCCCAGAAAGUGGUUUUUAGGCAGUUUUGAGUCAUUAGGUUGCUGUUUUGAGUUUUAGGUUUGUUUAAGUGUUUUAAAGUUUAGUUUUGCAUUCUUUGAGUCUAGUUUAGUGUUUUAAACCUUUGUUUUUAGAGUUUUUAAAGUCAGUUUCCAAGUGUUUAGCAAUCCCUCCUAAUCCCCGGUCUAGAACGAUCCCUACUUACAUCUUUACUACAAUUUGACAAAAAGAGGGUUUAAUUUGUGUGCUUAUCUAUUUCGCAUCAGUUCUUUGUUAGCCCACACUAUCCUUACCUAGCCUAGUUUUAGGAUCAUCCAUACCCUUGUUCUUGAAGCAUAGUAAAGCAUGACCUAAAAUAAACUCCUUUUUUAUCAAUGUAUUGCAGAAAGCAAGUGUGGGGGAAGUGAUUCUUGUGUGUGUGUGUACCAAAGUCCUUAAUAAGGCACGGGUAGAGAAAAGAAAAAAAAGAAAAAAAGGUAUGAAAAAAAGCUCUAAAGUGUUGUUUGUUAAAAAAGGGUCCAAAACAUUGAAUUUGGCCCUAAGUGUUGCAUGAAUCUUCCCUUUGUAUGGAAAAGUUGAUUCUACAUUCUAAAGUGAAUUCUAGGUGUCUAUUUCAUUGCUUUGCUUGCUAUCGCUUUAAGAACAUUUGUUAUUCCUAUUCUUUCUUUGUUAGCCAUUACCCCCAAGCCCUAUUACAACCCUUGACUUCAAUCUUGAGUGUUGUGCGUUUCAAUUUAUGGAGUUCAAAAUUGGUAUGAGCAUAUUGUGUCACUGGUUCUUGCAUCUAAGUAGUAGCAUACAAUUCAUGAGAUCAUAUCAAAACAUGCUUAAUAACUCCAGAAAAUUGCUUCC